rnacentral:rRNA from 1 species
UUGGAGGGCAAGUCUGGUGCCAGCAGCCGCGGUAAUUCCAGCUCCAAUAGCGUAUAUUAAAGUUGUUGCAGUUAAAAAGCUCGUAGUUGAAUUUCGGGGUUCUACCGUUGGUCGGGCUUUGUCUGUACUGGUGUGUAGAAUUUCUACCUUCUGGGGAACCAUCAUGCUAUUAAUUUAGCGUGGUGGGAAACCAGGACCUUUACCUUGAAAAAAUUAGUGUGUUCAAAGCAGGCUUAUGUCUGAAUACAUUAGCGUGGAAUAAUAGAAUAGGACGGUGGUCCUGUUUUGUUGGUUUCUGAAUCACCGUAAUGAUUAAUAGGGAUAGUUGGGGGCAUUAGUAUUCAAUUGUCAGAGGUGAAAUUCUUGGAUUUAUUGAAGACUAACUUCUGCGAAAGCAUUUGCCAAGGAUGUUUUCAUUAAUCAAGAGCGAAAGUUAGGGGAUCGAAGACGAUCAGAUACCGUCGUAGUCUUAACCAUAAACUAUGCCGACUAGGGAUCGGACGAUGUUAAUUUUUCUUGACUCGUUCGGCGCCUUACGGGAAAC